UACGUAGGUGGCAAGCGUUUGUCCGGAUUUACUGGGCGUAAAGAGCGCGCAGGCGGUCGUGCAAGUCGCGUGUGAAAGCCCCCGGCUCAACUGGGGAGGGUCACGCGAUACUGCUCGACUCGAAGGCAGGAGAGGGAAGUGGAAUUCCCGGUGUAGUGGUGAAAUGCGUAGAUAUCGGGAAGAACACCCGUGGCGAAGGCGGCUCUCUGGGACGGUACUGACGCUGAGACGCGAAAGCGUGGGGGAGCGAACAGG
rnacentral:rRNA from 1 species